CUUUGGGAGUUUCUAGGAAGCCCUGAUCUUCAGAAAGAAAUAAACUGGAAAUACAUGGUGGUCUGGGAGAGAGAGUUUUGGAAUAGAGGCAGAUGGAUACAAACCUGGUGGGACCAUGAAGUGGAGACCAUGUUUCUCAUCUAUUAGAGAGGGUGCUGUGGCAAGGAGCCAGACAUAGAGUUCUCUGAGGCUGAAACCCAUCACUUCACUUCCCAGACCCAAGGCUAUAGCCUGUGUUCCUAGCACUGGCAAGGGGAGCAGUUGAUCAAUACACAUCUGUGAUGGAAAAGUGAGAAAGGAGAAGUUACUUGCAUGAUACAACGUUGCAGAAGUCUUCUUUGUAACUAAUAAUGUAACUGCUGUAUCCACUGAAGCACAUAGAGGUUCUUCUAGCCCUGCUUUCUAGGUGGCACUGUUCUGUCAUCCUGCCUGCCCACAAACAGAAGAAAUUGUCCCUGAAGGGCAAGGGAAGUGAGUGCAUGAACAUCCUGAAGACAGUGUUGAUUCUUCUUGGAACAGAGAGCAGAAAAGACUGACAUCUCUAGGUUAAUACAAACGGUGCCAUCUGCAUAUUUUUAAUAUACGGGAGACAACCCUAAUGCAAGGGGCCCGCUGUUGUUCAUGGUGCAAAUCUCUUUUGGAGGAGGCUGGAUAGUGCUCUGAAAAAGAUGAUAAAAGGAAUUUAAAGGAUUUUGUGCUAUUUCAUCUUGAGAAAGAAGAAAGGAAACAGAAAUGACCUGGCUAGUGUCUGCAAAGCCUGGUUACAUGCAAGGUUUAAGCCACACACGUAAUCUGCAUUUUUCUCUUCCUGGUGACCGCGAUGUAAGGACUGUGAGUGGCUUGAAAUUUAGGUUUCUGAGGGUCCUGGAUGAACUGGUGCAUUGUAAAUACACUGUGGACAAUCUGUAAAAUGUUUGAGCCUGCUGUGUUGAUGGGACAAUUAUUUCCAGAGCCUCAAACUAUUCCAGAUCCUGGAUAUAGUCAACUGGCAAACACCAAUAGGUGUCUCCUUGUGGGUUGCAAUGUAUCAGUUUGCCAUGAAGCUCAUGUUUGCUGACUUACUUGCUUUUUAUGACAGGCAGCCUAAGUCUCCUCGGAGGCUCCUGCAUGUUACUCCCCAGCCUCUAUGUUCAAAUGAACCUUAAAUCAACUUUUUUUUUUUUUGUCAGCAUUGAUUUGCCAGUACAGGAAUCAUUGCAGGGGCUUUAAUUAGUAAUACCCAACUGAGGCAAGCAUGGUCUUAACAAGCUGGAAUGAAGGGACACAAGAUCAUAAGGGGAAAAAAAAACCACAACAACCGUAUAUUCAUACAAAAUGGAAGAAAAUGGAAGAGAUGCUAGGGAUUAUAAAGAUCCAGAAUGUUUUGACAACUCAUAGUGGGCCUAUAAAAAGGAGGAAAUUUAAGAUCUUUCAGUACUGAGAUGUCUGAAUCAAGAUGUCAUGUGAAUUUAGAGUGUGUGUGCAUAAGGAGGGUAAAGAAUCAACAUGAGCAAUAGAUAUUAAUAGGAAGUGAAAUUACUGGCACUUUUCUAUGCAAUGUGAACAGUCAUUUUCUUUACGUGCUCUCUAAUAUAAAUGAAAAUAAAAUAUAGGAUAGUAAUUUUUAACUUAAGUUAGAAAUAAUAAAAAAAAAUUCUGAGGAAUACCAGUAUUUUGAAAGAACAAACCAAAGUAUUUAACUAUGGUGAAGAGUUAGUGGUUUUCUAAUGAAUAUGUAAUGACAACAUUAACAUUUUUAAGUAAUCAUUUUUCUGUACCCAUAAACACAGUGGAGCAUGUGUGAAAUUACUACUUUUCAAGAGAGUGAGUUGUGCUUCCUGUUGCAUAGACUUGUAAACCUUUGCUUAACUGCCAUGCUGUUAUUGCUAACAAGUUUCUUUGGGAUAUCUUGUCUAUUCUAUUGGUCAGAAACAGUAUGUCAAUGACAGAACCACACUUCUCAAUAACUCGUUUGUUUACUUAACAACAAAAAAUAAUCAAUAGUGCAAUCUAGCCUGGAGGACCUGUCAAGCUCCAGCUCAACGGUUUUUCUUUAUCAAGAGGCCUGAAAAAAUGUGGAGUCCUUCCUCAUCCACAGCAUAUGCUAUUUUAAAUUUUUUAUCCUUUGCAGAUCAACUGUUCUCAUCUUCUCCUGGCUUGUCAGUAUGCAACUGAUUUUUUUGUUCAUUUUCUGACAGGUUUUAUGACAAACACAGUACAGCUCAUAUGUUGAAAACAAAUUAAAUGUAUUAGUAUGAGUCAAAAGGAGAGGAAAUAAUUUGUAACUAAAUGAAGAGCCUGCUUGUGAGUUCUUUAUUGAUAGGCUGGAAUUCAGCUAGGUUAAUUAUUUCUCCUGAGCUAAGUAUUUCAAUUUAUCCAUGAUUCAUCUAAUUCCCAUUAACAUGGGCAGCAGUUCAGAAAUAUAGAGAAUCAUCUGAAGUGCUGUGGAUACAAAAGAGCUCAGCUGAAUAUUAACCACACAGGUGAAUAUAUGUUGUUGGGCUGAGCUCAGGUCAGCUGACCAACUGGGCCUUUCCUUUGCCCAUGCUUCAACAUGUGAUUCCAUCUCUUGCAACCUGAAUCCUAGCUUCCUUUUGGGAAAAUCUCUUGGUUGCAUGCCUUCUCUCCCUGCAGGAAGAAUUCUCAUCUCACCUUUUCUUUUUUCUUUUUGUAGGGGAGAUGUGAG